AAACUGCGAUAAGUAGCGUGAAUUGCAGACGCUUUGAACGUUAAACUUUCGAACGCACAUUGCGCCCUUUGGUAUUCCAAAGGGCAUGCCUGUUCGAGCGUCAUUUGUACCCUCAAGCUUUGCUUGGUGUUGGGCGUCUUGUCUCUAGCUUUGCUGGAGACUCGCCUUAAAGUAAUUGGCAGCCGGCCUACUGGUUUCGGAGCGCAGCACAAGUCGCACUCUCUAUCAGCAAAGGUCUAGCAUCCAUUAAGCCUUUUUUUCAACUUUUGACCUCGGAUCAGGUAGGGAUACCCGCUGAACUUAAGC
rnacentral:misc_RNA from 1 species